UCGCCACCAGAGAACGGCUGGCCCAGGCCAUCGGCAUUCCGGAGCCCAGGGUCCAGAUUUGGUUUCAGAAUGAGAGGUCACGCCAGCUGAGGCAGCACCGGCGGGAAUCUCGGCCCUGGCCCGGGAGACGCGGCCCGCCAGAAGGCCGGCGAAAGCGGACCGCCGUCACCGGAUCCCAGACCGCCCUGCUCCUCCGAGCCUUUGAGAAGGAUCGCUUUCCAGGCAUCGCCGCCCGGGAGGAGCUGGCCAGAGAGACGGGCCUCCCGGAGUCCAGGAUUCAGAUCUGGUUUCAGAAUCGAAGGGCCAGGCACCCGGGACAGGGUGGCAGGGCGCCCGCGCAGGCAGGCGGCCUGUGCAGCGCGGCCCCCGGCGGGGGUCACCCUGCUCCCUCGUGGGUCGCCUUCGCCCACACCGGCGAGUGGGGAACGGGGCUUCCCGCACCCCACGUGCCCUGCGCGCCUGGGGCUCUCCCACAGGGGGCUUUCGUGAGCCAGGCAGCGAGGGCCGCCCCCGCGCUGCAGCCCAGCCAGGCCGCGACGGCAGAGGGGGUCUCCCAACCUGCCCCGGCGCGCGGGGAUUUCGCCUACGCCGCCCCGGCUCCUCCGGACGGGGCGCUCUCCCACCCUCAGGCUCCUCGGUGGCCUCCGCACCCGGGCAAAAGCCGGGAGGACCGGGACCCGCAGCGCGACGGCCUGCCGGGCCCCUGCGCGGUGGCACAGCCUGGGCCCGCUCAAGCGGGGCCGCAGGGCCAAGGGGUGCUUGCGCCACCCACGUCCCAGGGGAGUCCGUGGUGGGGCUGGGGCCGGGGUCCCCAGGUCGCCGGGGCGGCGUGGGAACCCCAAGCCGGGGCAGCUCCACCUCCCCAGCCCGCGCCCCCGGACGCCUCCGCCUCCGCGCGGCAGGGGCAGAUGCAAGGCAUCCCGGCGCCCUCCCAGGCGCUCCAGGAGCCGGCGCCCUGGUCUGCACUCCCCUGCGGCCUGCUGCUGGAUGAGCUCCU
rnacentral:lncRNA from 1 species